rnacentral:rRNA from 1 species
GACGAACGCUGGCGGCGUGCCUAAUACAUGCAAGUUGAGCGCUGAAGGUUGGUACUUGUACCGACUGGAUGAGCAGCGAACGGGUGAGUAACGCGUGGGGAAUCUGCCUUUGAGCGGGGGACAACAUUUGGAAACGAAUGCUAAUACCGCAUAAAAACUUUAAACACAAGUUUUAAGUUUGAAAGAUGCAAUUGCAUCACUCAAAGAUGAUCCCGCGUUGUAUUAGCUAGUUGGUGAGGUAAAGGCUCACCAAGGCGAUGAUACAUAGCCGACCUGAGAGGGUGAUCGGCCACAUUGGGCCUGAGCCACGGCCCAAACUCCUACGGGAGGCAGCAGUAGGGAAUCUUCGGCAAUGGACGAAAGUCUGACCGAGCAACGCCGCGUGAGUGAAGAAGGUUUUCGGAUCGUAAAACUCUGUUGGUAGAGAAGAACGUUGGUGAGAGUGGAAAGCUCAUCAAGUGACGGUAACUACCCAGAAAGGGACGGCUAACUACG